UGAGGAAUAUUGGUCAAUGGACGAGAGUCUGAACCAGCCAAGUCGCGUGAAGGAUGAAGGUUCUAUGGAUUGUAAACUUCUUUUGUACAGGGGUAAAACACUCUACGUGUAGAGUCUUGCAAGUACUGUACGAAUAAGCAUCGGCUAACUCCGUGCCAGCAGCCGCGGUAAUACGGAGGAUGCGAGCGUUAUCCGGAUUUAUUGGGUUUAAAGGGUGCGUAGGCGGUUUAUUAAGUCAGCGGUGAAAGUUUGAGGCUCAACCUUAAAUUGCCGUUGAAGCUGGUAGACUUGAGUAUAGAUGAAGUAGGCGGAAUUAGUGGUGUAGCGGUGAAAUGCAUAGAUAUCACUAGGAGCUCCGAUAGCGAAGGCAGCUUACUAAGGUAUAACUGACGCUGAUGCACGAAAGUGUGGGUAUCAAACAGGAUUAGAUACCCUGGUAGUCCACACAGUAAACGAUGAUUACUAGUUGUUUGCGAUAUACAGUAAGUAACUAAGCGAAAGCGAUAAGUAAUCCACCUGGGG
rnacentral:rRNA from 1 species